CCUACGGGAGGCAGCAGUGAGGCAUAUUGGUCAAUGGACGAGAGUCUGAACCAGCCAAGUAGCGUGAAGGAUGACUGCCCUAUGGGUUGUAAACUUCUUUUAUAUGGGAAUAAAAUGUUCCACGUGUGGGAUUUUGUAUGUACCAUAUGAAUAAGGAUCGGCUAACUCCGUGCCAGUAGCCGCGGUAAUACGGAGGAUCCGAGCGUUAUCCGGAUUUAUUGGGUUUAAAGGGAGCGUAGGUGGAUUGUUAAGUCAGUUGUGAAAGUUUGCGGCUCAACCGGAAAAUUGCAGUUGAAACUGGCAGUCGUGAGUACAGUAGAGGUGGGCGGAAUUCGUGGUGUAGCGGUGAAAUGCUUAGAUAUCACGAAGAACUCCGAUUGCGAAGGCAGCUCACUGGACUGCAACUGACACUGGGGCUCGAAAGUGUGGGUAUCAAACAGGAGUAGAUACCCUUGUAGUC
rnacentral:rRNA from 1 species